GACGAACCGUGCGAACGUUAUUCGGAAUCACUGGGCUUAAAGCGCGUGUAGGCGGGCCGGCACGUCGGUCGCUGAAAGCCCCCGGCUCAACCGGGGAACGGGCGCCGAUACGACCGGCCUGGAGGGGGGUAGGGGGAGCCGGAACUCACGGUGGAGCGGUGAAAUGCGUUGAGAUCGUGAGGAACGCCCGUGGCGAAAGCGGGCUCCUGGGCCCCGCCUGACGCUGAGACGCGAAAGCCAGGGGAGCGAACGGG
rnacentral:rRNA from 1 species